GGGCUUGGAUGAGAGACCAAACAACAUGGCUCUGAAAUAGGAUUUCUUCAUCAGAAGAUGAACAGAAAACAGGAAGCUCAUGGCGAUAGAGGUAUUUGUCAGCUGAUGGGGUGACAUCACCCCCACCCCAAACCACAUGCAUGAGACUGCCCUGAUUGGCUGCUCCUUCCAGCAAAGCUUGGUCAUCCCUGGUGGACUCGUGCUCCUGGGUUCAUUCGUCUUGGUCUCCAG
rnacentral:lncRNA from 1 species